UACGGGGGGAGCAAGCGUUGUUCGGAUUUACUGGGCGUAAAGGGCGCGUAGGCGGUCAGCACAAGUCAGUUGUGAAAUCUCCGGGCUUAACUCGGAAAGGUCAACUGAUACUGUGCGACUAGAGUGCGGAAGGGGCAACUGGAAUUCUCGGUGUAGCGGUGAAAUGCGCAGAUACCAGGAGGAACACCGGUGGCGAAGGCGGGUCUCUGGGCCGUAACUGACGCUGAGGAGCGAAAGCGUGGGGAGCAAACAGG
rnacentral:rRNA from 1 species